GACUACAUAUUGAGCCUUUAAGGGGAGCUUGAUCUGUAGCUAUAGCAGUCAACUUGAUAAUGCUUAUCUGCAGUAACCAUGAAAAGCCUUUUCUGUUGAUUUCUACAGAUCAAGCUGCUUUUAAAGAAACCAGAGCAGACUAGGCUGCUGUUGUAUGUUUUUAUGGUCAAUGUACUUUUUUUUUAUGCUCAUGUACUUUGUACAAAAGAAGCACACACAUUUGGAAAUCAAAGCUCUGUGUAUUACAGGACAAACCAUAUGGAGCACACUGGAGACCUCAAAAUUACUGCUUGGUCUUCAUGUUAGCUAAAGCAUUUGCCAAUAUCUCCAUGGGACCUUUAUAAAUGAAAUUGUUUAACCAGACUGGAAUGAGUUUCAAACCAUGUAAAUUUACUUCUGUAAAAAUUGCUGUUACAUUGAUGAUUUAUCUUAAGGAAGUACAUCAUCCCACCAAAGAUUUCGGACACUUCCAAAGAAUAAGAUAAGCAAAAAGUCUGCAUCUCUUCCAACCCUGAAGCAGAAAACAUCAUGGGGGAUCGAAAGAAGCAACAAAUAAAAGGAAUGGAAACUGCUGAUGAAAAAGCAACUGAAGAUUUGACAGCUCCCUUUCCCUUCAGAAGAACUCUACCUGGAACUGAGUAAAUGACAGACGGAGAAGGAGGGUGUUCACUUUCUGCUCAGUUCUGGUCAGUACUUGUAGGAACUGGGCAGGCCCCAGGCCCCUGUCUUUUCAAGAGGACCUCAAGCUGGCCUAUUAUUAAAUUUUAAAAAAUAAAUAAAUGAGAAAGGGAUCCCAACUUUACCGAAGACCCAAUCCAUGAAUAUUAUAGAAUGGUUGAAGAACUAGAAGCUUUUUGUCCACGACUCAGCCUCUUCACUUCCAGCCUCAACUCUGUUCUCUCCUCUCUCUCCGCAUUACCUCACAGUUCAAGUCUUCUUUCACAGCAAGGCUCUGUUCCCAAGGCAUAGCAACCAGUAUGGGGCACUCUCUUGCUGGGACCUGAGGCUGUACCUCUCCAUCUUCUUUAUCAUAACAACUAAGAAGAGCCCUGCUGGAUCAGGUCAAUGGCCCAUCUAGU